GGACGAACGCUGGCGGCGCGCCUAACACAUGCAAGUCGAACGGAGCUGAGAGGAGCUUGCUUUCUUAGCUUAGUGGCGAACGGGUGAGUAACGCGUGAGUAACCUGCCCUGGAGUGGGGGACAACAGUUGGAAACGACUGCUAAUACCGCAUAAGCCCACGAUCCGGCAUCGGAUUGAGGGAAAAGGAUUUAUUCGCUUCAGGAUGGACUCGCGUCCAAUUAGCUAGUUGGUGAGGUAACGGCCCACCAAGGCGACGAUUGGUAGCCGGACUGAGAGGUUGAACGGCCACAUUGGGACUGAGACACGGCCCAGACUCCUACGGGAGGCAGCAGUGGGGGAUAUUGCACAAUGGGGGAAACCCUGAUGCAGCGACGCCGCGUGGAGGAAGAAGGUUUUCGGAUUGUAAACUCCUGUCGUUAGGGACGAUAAUGACGGUACCUAACAAGAAAGCACCGGCUAACUACGUG
rnacentral:rRNA from 1 species